rnacentral:rRNA from 1 species
GACGAACCGUCCAAACGUUAUUCGGAAUCACUGGGCUUACAGAGUUCGUAGGCGGUCUGGAAAGUUGGGUGUGAAAUCCCUCGGCCUAACCGAGGAACUGCGCUUGAAACUACCAGACUCGAGGGAGAUAGAGGAAAGCGGAACUGAUGGUGGAGCGGUGAAAUGCGUUGAUAUCAUCAGGAACACCGGUGGCGAAGGCGGCUUCUGGGUCUUACCUGACGCUGAGGAACGAAAGCCAGGGGAGC